UACGUAGGGGGCGAGCGUUGUCCGGAGUUACUGGGCGUAAAGCGCACGCAGGCGGUCUGCUAAGUUUGGAGUGACAGUUGGUGGCUUAACUGCCAAAGUGCUUCGAAAACUGACAGACUUGAGGGCUUCAGAGGGACACGGAAUUCCGGGUGGAGUGGUGAAAUGCGUAGAGAUCCGGAGGAACACCAAAGGCGAAGGCAGUGUCCUGGGGAGUACCCGACGCUCAGGUGCGAAAGCCAGGGGAGCGAACGGG
rnacentral:rRNA from 1 species